GUCCUUCCAUUAUCGCGAAGGCGCCAGAGGCGAGGUCGGCAACCUUGGUUAUCUCAGAAGCUCGACAGAUCAGUUCUGCCUCUAUAUCGGCCGUAGUUGAUGUUCUUAUCUCUUCGGCCAAGUCCGUCGGGAGUUCAGAAGGUCUGUUGGCCUUCCUUUUCUUCGCGCGGGGAGCUUUGAUGGCGGGGAUCUCCUCCUCCUUCGUCGUUUCCUCCGUCCGUAGGUUCUCCGCGUUCGGUGUGGAGCGGAAGGGCCCCUUCUGAAGAGGAGCCAUACUUCCUCAUACUUGUGGUGUUGUCGUGUGUCGGCUCAGCAGCCAAUUCCGCUUCACCCCGCCCUAUCAUUGUCUCAUCCACCUCUUUACCUUCCCUCGUGGUUGUGUCUUUUUCCCCCAUUGAGCACACAAAACUACUUACCCCGGACUUGUCACUGCCACUCGUCACUGCCACUUUCAAAUGGCCCGCGCGACACGCUUUCGGCGCGCGUGUAGCUCGUGUAGCGGCGCUGGAAUCAUGCGUCCCAAUAUGGUUUCCUCGCCGUCAUAACCUAACACUCGGUUCAUUUUCGCCUGUAACGUCUUUCCAGACCGGAUUCCAUUGGUUCCUGCACUCACUUUUGUUCACAGCUAGAUCAGAUGCCCAAGACAUAGAUGCCUUCAUGUUCAUAAUUCAAGAAAACCGGAACGCGUAUAAAAACUAAUGUACACCAAACUUGAGAACCCCCUUCACACCACCCACAAAAUAAUAAACAAAUUCAUACACAAGUACUCAGAGCAGGAAGACUUUAUUGAGGAGCGCGAAGCAACACUUGCUGUGCGAUCAAGAGUCGGCGCAACAAUAGUACAGCCACUGGGGUGCACCACUCUGCACGCGUGACAGCCCCAUCACCGCUCCCAGCCACUCAGCAUGGAAGGUUCCAGAAGCUUCAGCAAAGAUAAGUUUCCACGCGCCUUGAACGUUCCCACUAGCAUCAGCAUGGAAG
rnacentral:misc_RNA from 1 species